AAUCGGCUUAAGCUUAUACAAAUAAAAACUAAAUUCUCUUCAGAUAAAUCAAUUACAGUUAACGUGGAAUGUCUUCUAAAAAUAGAAUACACAAAAUUAUGCUGAGACUAUUUUCGAAAAGUUAUAUGGCCUCCACGGAUAUGAAGGGC